rnacentral:rRNA from 1 species
UGAAUACGAGACGCUAAGGCGUCGAAGUAGUGUAUGUCAUACUUCCAAGAAAAGCUUGCACUGUCAUAAGUAAAAAAUGCCUGUACCAUAACCGACACAGGUGGGUAGGUAGAGUAUACUAAGGGGCGCGAGAUAACUCUCUCUAAGGAACUCGGCAAAAUAACUCCGUAACUUCGGGAGAAGGAGUACCUUAUUCUAUAAGGUUGCAAUAACAAGAUCCAAGCAACUGUUUAUCAAAAACACAGGUCUCCGCUAAGUCGUAAGACGAUGUAUGGGGGCUGACGCCUGCCCAGUGCCAGAAGGUUAAAGAAGUCGGUUAGCAUUAGCGAAGCUGGUAACUGAAGCCCUGGUGAACGGCGGCCGUAACCAUAACGGUCCUAAGGUAGCGAAAUUCCUUGUCGGGUAAGUUCCGACCCGCACGAAAGGCGUAAUGAUUUGGAUACUGUCUCGGAGAGGGGCUCGGUGAAAUAGACUUGUCUGUGAAGAUGCGGACUACCUGCACCAGGACAGAAAGACCCUAUGAAGCUUUACUGUAACUUGAAAUUGAAAUUGGACUUUAUUCGCGCAGUAUAGGUGGGAGGUGUUGAUUAUAAUCUUGCGGGAUUAUUGGAGCCAUCAGUGAGAUACCACUCUUGUAAUGUUAGAUUUCUAACUUUGAAUCAUUAUCUGGUCAAAGGACAGUUUCAGGCGGGCAGUUUGACUGGGGCGGUCGCCUCCCAAACGGUAACGGAGGCGUACAAAGGUUUCCUCUGAACGGGUAGAAAUCGUAUCUAGAGUGUAAAGGCAUAAGGAAGCUUGACUGUGAGACCUACAAGUCGAACAGGGACGAAAGUCGGUCUUAGUGAUCUGACGGUACUGAGUGGAAAGGCCGUCACUCAACGGAUAAAAGUUACUCUAAGGAUAACAGGCUGACCUCCCCCAAGAGUUCACAUCGACGGGGAGGUUUGGCACCUCGAUGUCGGCUCAUCGCAUCCUGGGGCGGUAGUACGUCCCAAGGGUUGGGCUGUUCGCCCAUGAAAGCGGUACGCGAGCUGGGUUCAGAACGUCGUGAGACAGUUCGGUCCAUAUCCGGUGUAGGCGUUAGAAUAUUGAGAGGAGCCUUCUUUAGUACGAGAGGACCGAGAAGGACAUACCUCUGGUGUACCAGUUAUCGUGCCAACGGUAAACGCUGGGUAGCUAUGUAUGGAGUGGAUAACCGCUGAAAGCAUCUAAGUGGGAAGCCCACCUCAAGAUAAGUAUUCUCAUC